AACGCGAAGAACCUUACCUGGGCUUGAACCGCACAGGACCAUCUUUGGAAACAGAGACUUCCCGCAAGGGACCUGUGUAGAGGUGCUGCAUGGCUGUCGUCAGCUCGUGCCGUGAGGUGUUGGGUUAAGUCCCGCAACGAGCGCAACCCUUAUCCCUAGUUGCCAUCGGGUCAAGCCGGGCACUCUAGUGAAACCGCCCAGGAUAACUGGGAGGAAGGUGGGGAUGACGUCAAGUCCUCAUGGCCUUUAUGUCCAGGGCUACACACGUGCUACAAUGGUCGGUACAAACCGUCGCAAACUCGCGAGAGGGAGCUAAUCGGAAAAAGCCGGCCUCAGUUCGGAUUGGAGUCUGCAACCCGACUCCAUGAAGCUGGAAUCGCUAGUAAUCGCGGAUCAGAACGCCGCGGUGAAUACGUUCCCGGGCCUUGUACACACCGGCUAC
rnacentral:rRNA from 1 species